GUAUCACUUCUGCAUGCUCACCUCUUGCUGCAUGAUGAAGAGGCUGAUGCAAAGGAACACAGAAUAGCCGUAAACAAGAAUUAUUAUAUGUUAAAAGCAGCUCUUCUUUUUAUAUGAACAAACAAUCGGUUUUCAGGUCAGUCAUUAUGGGUUUACUUGUUCAGCCCAUUUUGGAUUUGGACUAUUUCAAGCUCAAACCAAUUCAGGUCUAGGUUUGGUUGUUGAUUUUUUAUGGUCAAAACGGUCGGGUUUUCGGUUUUGUCAAGCAAGUGGGAGAAGAGUGCCAAAUCGAUUCCCAUUUUCAUUUAGUAAAUAAUUGACCAAGGUGCAAUUGAAUGAGAAACAAAUCAGAAUCAAUUGAAAUGAAUCAAAUUAGCUUUAGAGCCUAAUCAACAUCAAGCAAAUAAACUGAACAUACAGGCAUUAGAAUUCAAAAUGGUUCGAGGGCCAUUAGUAUGAAGUACUCACAGUAUCACCUUCGGCAUCAACUGAAUCUAGUAUUCUUUUCAGACAUCCACUGUCAGUGGCUCUGUCAAGUAGAAGUUGCACUAUCUCGACAAAUCCUGAAAACAUCGAUUGGGAAAGAAA